rnacentral:rRNA from 1 species
GAUGAACGCUGGCGGCGUGCCUAAUACAUGCAAGUCGAGCGAACAGACGAGGCGCUUGCUCCUCUGACGUUAGGGGCGGACGGGUGAGUAACACGUGGAUAACCUACCUAUAAGUCUGGGAUAAUUUCGGGAAACCGGAGCUAAUACCGGAUAAUAUAUUGAACCGCAGGGUUCAAUAGUGAAAGUCGGUUUUGCGGUCACUUAUAGAUGGAUCCGCGCCGCAUUAGCUGGUUGGUAAGGUAACGGCUUUGCAAGGGGACGAUGCGUAGCCGACGUGAUGGAGGGAUCGCCCACAUGGGAGCGGAACCGGGGUCCAGGCUCCUGCGGGAGGCACCAGUAGGGAAUGUUCCGCAGUAGGCGGAAGCCUGGCGGAGCGACGCCGCGUGUGUGAUAGAAAUCUUCGGAUCGUAAUACUCUGUUAUGAGUGGAGAACAGAUGUGUAAUGAGCUAUGCACGUCUUGACGGUACCGGAUCAGAAAGCAACGGCUAACUACGUG